GCUUGCUUCGGCAACACAUAUACUAAAAUUGGAACAAUACGGAGACGAUUAAAGUGGCUCCUGCACAAGGAUGGCAGGCAAAUUCAUGAAGCAUUCCAUAUUUUU